GAUGAACGCUGGCGGCGUGCCUAAUACAUGCAAGUCGAGCGAACAGACGAGGAGCUUGCUCCUCUGACGUUAGCGGCGGACGGGUGAGUAACACGUGGAUAACCUACCUAUAAGACUGGGAUAACUUCGGGAAACCGGAGCUAAUACCGGAUAAUAUAUUGAACCGCAUGGUUCAAUAGUGAAAGACGGUUUCGCUGUCACUUAUAGAUGGAUCCGCGCCGCAUUAGCUAGUUGGUAAGGUAACGGCUUACCAAGGCAACAAUGCGUAGCCGACCUGAGAGGGUGAUCGGCCACACUGGAACUGAGACACGGUCCAGACUCCUACGGGAGGCAGCAGUAGGGAAUCUUCCGCAAAGGGCGAAAGCCUGACGGAGCAACGCCGCGUGAGUGAUGAAGGUCUUCGGAUCGUAAAACUCUGUUAUUAGGGAAGAACAAAUGUGUAAGUAACUAUGCACGUCUUGACGGUACCUAAUCAGAAAGCCACGGCUAACUACGUG
rnacentral:rRNA from 1 species